rnacentral:rRNA from 1 species
UCCUACGGGAGGCAGCAGUGAGGAAUAUUGGUCAAUGGGCGCAAGCCUGAACCAGCCAUGCCGCGUGCAGGAUGACUGUUCUAUGAAUUGUAAACUGCUUUUCUACAGGAAGAAACCCCCGAAUGUAUUCGGGUCUGCCGGUACUGUAGGAAUAAGCACCGGCUAACUCCGUGCCAGCAGCCGCGGUAAUACGGAGGGUGCAAGCGUUAUCCGGAUUUAUUGGGUUUAAAGGGUGCGUAGGCGGAAAAUUAAGUCAGUGGUGAAAUCCUGCGGCUCAACCGUAGAACUGCCAUUGAUACUGAUAUUCUUGAAUGUAGUUGAGGUAGGCGGAAUGUGUAAUGUAGCGGUGAAAUGCUUAGAUAUUACACAGAACACCGAUUGCGAAGGCAGCUUACUAAACUAUGAUUGACGCUGAUGCACGAAAGCGUGGGUAGCGAACAGGAUUAGAUACCCUGGUAGUCCACGCUGUAAACGAUGAUCACUCGUUGUUUGCGAUAUAUUGUAAGCGACUGAGCGAAAGCAUUAAGUGAUCCACCUGGGGAGUACGUCGGCAACGAUGAAACUCAAAGGAA